UGACCGCUGGCGGUAUGCCUACCACAUGCACGUCGCACGGCAGCACAGUAAGAGCUUGCUCUUACGGGUGGCGAGUGGCGGACGGGUGAGGAAUACAUCGGAAUCUACUUUUUCGUGGGGGAUAACGUAGGGAAACUUACGCUAAUACCGCAUACGACCUACGGGUGAAAGCAGGGGAUCUUCGGACCUUGCGCGAUUGAAUGAGCCGAUGUCGGAUUAGCUAGUUGGCGGGGUAAAGGCCCACCAAGGCGACGAUCCGUAGCUGGUCUGAGAGGAUGAUCAGCCACACUGGAACUGAGACACGGUCCAGACUCCUACGGGAGGCAGCAGUGGGGAAUAUUGGACAAUGGGCGCAAGCCUGAUCCAGCCAUACCGCGUGGGUGAAGAAGGCCUUCGGGUUGUAAAGCCCUUUUGUUGGGAAAGAAAAGCAGCAGGUUAAUACCCCGCUGUUCUGACGGUACCCAAAGAAUAAGCACCGGCUAACUUCGUG
rnacentral:rRNA from 1 species